rnacentral:misc_RNA from 1 species
AAGUCGUAACAAGGUUUCCGUAGGUGAACCUGCGGAAGGAUCAUUACCACAAAAUACCCUCUUAACCACUUGUGAACCGAGUCUAUGUCCUUGGGGGAGACGGAAUCUGACACCUGUGUCUCUUUCCACUCCCCCAGCGGUACGACAGUAGUCGUGCUUGCGCACAAUGUUUACCACAUGUGUUAUGUUUAACAUGGUUGAAGUAUACAUUUCUCUUUUUGAGAAAUCAAAAAGAACUCUGACAACUUUUAACGGUGGAUCUCUUGGCUCGU